UGGGGAAUAUUGCACAAUGGGCGAAAGCCUGAUGCAGCGACGCCGCGUGAGGGAUGACGGCCUUCGGGUUGUAAACCUCUUUCGACAGGGACGAAGCGCAAGUGACGGUACCUGUAGAAGAAGCACCGGCCAACUACGUGCCAGCAGCCGCGGUAAUACGUAGGGUGCGAGCGUUGUCCGGAAUUACUGGGCGUAAAGAGCUUGUAGGCGGUUUGUCGCGUCGUCUGUGAAAACUCACAGCUCAACUGUGAGCUUGCAGGCGAUACGGGCAGACUUGAGUACUGCAGGGGAGACUGGAAUUCCUGGUGUAGCGGCGAAAUGCGCAGAUAUCAGGAGGAACACCGGUGGCGAAGGCGGGUCUCUGGGCAGUAACUGACGCUGAGAAGCGAAAGCGUGGGUAGCGAACAGGAUUAGAUACCCUGGUAGUCCACGCCGUANCGGUGGGUACUAGGUGUGGGUUUCCUUCCACGGGAUCCGUGCCGUAGCUAACGCAUUAAGUACCCCGCCUGGGGAGUACGGCCGCAAGGCU
rnacentral:rRNA from 1 species